GACGUAGAGCGCGAGCGUUGUCCGGAAUUAUUGGGCGUAAAGGGCUCGUAGGCGGUUUGUCGCGUCGGGAGUGAAAACUCAGGGCUUAACCCUGAGCCUGCUUCCGAUACGGGCAGACUAGAGGUAUGCAGGGGAGAGCGGAAUUCCUGGUGUAGCGGUGAAAUGCGCAGAUAUCAGGAGGAACACCGAUGGCGAAGGCAGCUCGCUGGGACGUGACUGACGCUGAGACGCGAAAGCGUGGGGAGCAAACAGG
rnacentral:rRNA from 1 species